rnacentral:rRNA from 1 species
UGAGGAACAUGACCUUCGGCGGGGGAUAGCCGGCCCAACGGCCGGGUAAUACCGCGUACGACCACUUUGGGACAUCCCUCGGUGGUGAAAGCAGCAAUGCGCCGAUGGAGUGCCUCGCGGCCUAUCAGCUAGUUGGUGAGGUAACGGCUCACCAAGGCGACGACGGGUAGCUGGUCUGAGAGGAUGGCCAGCCACAUUGGGACUGAGACACGGUCCAGACUCCUACGGGAGCAG